GACCAGACUCCUACGGGAGGCAGCAGUGGGGGAUAUUGGACAAUGGGGGAAACCCUGAUGCAGCGACGCCGCGUGAGUGAAGAAGUAUUUCGGUAUGUAAAGCUCUAUCAGCAGGGAAGAUAAUGACGGUACCUGACUAAGAAGCCCCGGCUAACUACGUGCCAGCAGCCGCGGUAAUACGUAGGGGGCAAGCGUUAUCCGGAUUUACUGGGUGUAAAGGGUGCGUAGGUGGCAGGGCAAGUCAGAUGUGAAAGCCCGGGGCUCAACCCCGGUACUGCAUUUGAAACUGUCCAGCUGGAGUGCAGGAGAGGUAAGCGGAAUUCCUAGUGUAGCGGUGAAAUGCGUAGAUAUUAGGAGGAACACCAGUGGCGAAGGCGGCUUACUGGACUGUAACUGACACUGAGGCACGAAAGCGUGGGGAGCAAACAGGAUUAGAUACCCUAGUAC
rnacentral:rRNA from 1 species